CAAUAGCGUAUAUUAAAGUUGUUGCGGUUAAAAAGCUCGUAGUUGGAUUUCUGCUGAGAACGACCGGUCCGCCCUUUGGGUGUGUAUCUGGCUCUUUCUUGGCAUCUUCUUGGUGAACGUUGCUGCACUUGACUGUGUGGAGCGCUACCCAGGACUUUUACUUUGAGGAAAUUAGAGUGUUUCAAGCAGGCAUACGCCUUGAAUACAUUAGCAUGGAAUAAUAAGAUAGGACCUCGGUUCUAUUUUGUUGGUUUCUAGAGCUGAGGUAAUGAUUAAUAGGGAUAGUUGGGGGCAUUCGUAUUUAACUGUCAGAGGUGAAAUUCUUGGAUUUGUUAAAGACGAACUACUGCGAAAGCAUUUGCCAAGGAUGUUUUCAUUGAU
rnacentral:rRNA from 1 species